UUGACAAAAUACAAAACAGAUCAAAGUUAGGAACUAGCACAAUCCAGUUUACAUCAACAACACAUAAAAGUUUCUUAAAGCCCCUUAGUUCCACCUCACAGCUCAUUCUUUCAGUUCUCUCGGAGAAGUUUCUCUCCAUCAAAUUCAAUGUAAUGCAAUACCUACAAACAUGAUUAAGCACAUCAGAAGCAUCAAGGGAAAUUGAUUAGGAAGGAAAACAUCAGGGAGGAACAAAAAUCCUAAAGAUCAGGGGAAACUAUCACAACAAAUAGCAUGGUUCUGGGCUUGGUAGGUACUGUCCUAAAAACCAUUUACUAAGAAGUCCUUACAAAACUAUCUUCAACGAUUCAAAUCAAGAUAUCUUCAUUAGAUGAUCAGAUGCGAGCUUCACAUCAUGUCCUAAACAUGCAUAUUGUCUACUCUCGCAGAAACAACGAGUACAAAUAAAUUUCCUGAAAGUUUCUUAGCAUAAGUACAUUAUAAGAUGUUAGUAACAUAAUAGCCUUGCCUAAGAAAGUUCCAGAUCCACAAAAUAUAAUAUACAUAUUACUAACCAUCGUUCAUGAGUUCUAAUUUUCACAAAUAUCAGACAACCAAUUUCACAAACUGAAAAUUGGAACGACAACUUGGUGAAAUAAAUUUAUCACAACUCAAUGGAGUGACCGUGUUAGAGGUAUGAAUGUAACAGCGAUUUCCAGCUCCAAGAGCGUUCUAAAAAUCUAUUGAGGUAUGUCAUUAUGUCGGAAAGGACAGCCCCUCUACUAAGAAAAAUGAGAACCAUAAAAUUUAUUUAGUUUCCAUGACUAGAAGCAAACAGUCUAGUUAAUUUGCUACCAAGAUUUUGCUUGGAGAAGGUAAUAAAAAUGGCACUAAUGAUUAUCAUAUUAGUAUCUUGUUGUCUGCUACAACAAGUCAGCCGAGUCUCUCUACCAGAUAAGGAACGAUCUUUGGUUAGCUCACUUUAUAUGGUAUAAACAUACUUAACUCACAUAUGUGCAAAGCAAAUGAAAUGAGCUUGUUUGCCAACAAGCUAGGAUAGUAUCCUGUGGAAAGCAAACAAAAUGAACACAUGACAAGACCAAAGGGAAGAAUGGAGGGGGAUACCUUCAACAUUUGUGGUUGAGGCCGACAACACCGUCACCGGAGCUAGCCCAAACCAACCCAAAUGGCAUGAUGAACCCCUUCUCUGUUCUACA
rnacentral:lncRNA from 1 species